GGAUGUGAGGGCAAUCUGGCUGUGACAUCUGUUACCCCAUGGAUCGCCAGGGUUGAUUCCGCUGAUCUGGCUGGCUAGGCGGAUGUCCCCUUCCUCCCUCACCCGCUCCAUGUGCUUCCCUCCUGAAGCUGCCCACUUGGGUUGAAGAGGACAACCUUCCAGGAAUAGAGGAGGACCAGUCUUUGGUCAAGCGUAUACAAGAGUAGCUAUGCUCCCCUGCCAGAACCUCCAAACAAGCUCUCAAGAGCCCAGCAUUACUGUAUGAACCAUUUACACUAUUUUUGAACUCUGUUAAAUAUGGUAAUACUGAUAUCCUUU
rnacentral:snRNA from 1 species